GGGCUCGUGGGGUAGCUUGGUAUCCUACCAGCUUGGGGUGCUGGCGACUCCGGUUCAAAUCCGGACGGGCCCA
rfam:Euryarchaeota archaeon RBG_16_68_12 RBG_16_scaffold_2025, whole genome shotgun sequence.